CAGCAGCCGCGGUAAUACGUAGGGUGCGAGCGUUGUUCGGAAUUACUGGGCGUAAAGCGCGUGUAGGCGGCUCGAUAAGUCCGUUCUGAAAGUCCAGGGCUCAACCCUGGGAUGCGGAUGGAUACUGUCGGGCUCGAGUCCGGAAGAGGCGAGUGGAAUUCCCGGUGUAGCGGUGAAAUGCGCAGAUAUCGGGAGGAACACCAAUGGCGAAGGCAGCUCGCUGGGACGUGACUGACGCUGAGACGCGAAAGCGUGGGGAGCAAACAGGAUUAGAUACCCUGGUAGUCCACGCCGUAAACGAUGGACACUAGGUGUGGGAGGUGUCGACUCCUCCCGUGCCGCAGCUAACGCAUUAAGUGUCCCGCCUGGGGAGUACGGCCGCAAGGCUAAAACUCAAAGGAAUUGACGG
rnacentral:rRNA from 1 species